rnacentral:rRNA from 1 species
UGGCUUCCAUCUGGAAGAAGUCUGGAGACAGGUGCUGCAUGGCUGUCGUCAGCUCGUGUCGUGAGAUGUUGGGUUAAGUCCCGCAACGAGCGCAACCCUUGCCUUUAGUUGCCAGCAGUUCGGGCUGGGCACUCUAAAGGGACUGCCGGUGUUAAACCGGAGGAAGGUGGGGAUGACGUCAAGUCCUCAUGGCCUUUAUGACCAGGGCUACACACGUACUACAAUGGCCGAUACAAAGGGCAGCGACACUGCGAGGUGAAGCCAAUCCCGUAAAAUCGGUCUCAGUCCGGAUUGGAGUCUGCAACUCGACUCCAUGAAGUUGGAAUCGCUAGUAAUCGUGGAUCAGCAUGCCACGGUGAAUACGUUCCCGGGCCUU